ACAUGUAUAGUUUAAUAAAAAUUUUAAUUUGUGGAGUUAAAGAUCUUACUUAGUUCAUGUA
rnacentral:tRNA from 1 species